UUGUCUUCUUCUUUCUCUUUCCCUUUUGCUUCUACUCUUUUUCCCCCUUCUUCCUCUUCUUGUGCUCCGUCUUUGGGUAACAAUUUUGAAUUUUUGGGAAGUUGUGAUCUCAAAACAACAUAACACAAGGAUUGCCUUUUUCUGCUGGUAUAAUACUGAUGACACCUCCCAUCAGCGCAGCAAAACACGUACAAGAUUCUGUGGUAACUAUCUUCAUGAACAUCAAGAGGGGCAUAGAUUU
rnacentral:ribozyme from 13 species